AUGAUGAUGAGUUGCAUGUUAUCGGCUACAGUUCACAGAGGAAAUGGCAAAGACCAGCACGACCUCCCAUUUUCCCCCCAAACGUGGCCAACCACCUACUACCCUUCCCGGUUCAAAUACCCCUGCUCUCCUAUGGCCUCGAGUCCAAACUUUUCCCCGCACCACCGCCACCCUGUCCCGAUGAUCACAAUGAGGGCACAGCUCGCUCCGGCCCUCCUCCUCCUCCUCAUGGUUGCCGCCGCGCCGCUCAUAUCAGCGAUGACUGCUGAGGAGGAAACCAAGGAGAAAUUGCUACAGGGCGCACACAAAGAGGACCUCGCUGAUAAACUCAGUAUCGCGAAUGUCGACCCAGACGCUUAUGCAGCCGAGCAGAAAUCAGUUGGGCCCGAUAGCAAGAAGCAGGCCGCUAAGGACGUCGUUGAUAACACAAGCUAUAUUAUGGGUGCCGUGCCUGAGAAGAAACCUGAAAGUAAAAGCGACGAGAAGAAACUCAAGGAGGAGGCCAAGGUCAUCGCUCAAGUCAAAGGAGAGACGAACUACGAGGAUGCCGUCGCUGAGCAGAAUGCCAAGGAGGAGAAGAAAUCCAAACUCAAGAGUGACAUCUCCGAGGACGAUGAUGCUGAGGAGAAGGAGAAGAAAUCAAAAAACAAAGACGAUGACGAGGACAAAGAGAAGAAAUCUAAAAAUAAGGAUGAUGACGAUGUUGAGAAAAAGGAGAAGAAUUCCAAAAGCAAAGACGAGGACUCUAUAUAUGACACCGAGAAGAAAUCGAAAAACAAGGAUGAUGAUGAUGAUGAUGAGAAGAAAGAUAAGAAGUCUAAAAGCAAGGACGACGACGACGACGAUGAUGAUGAGAAGAAAGAGAACAAAUUGAAAAAUAAGGAUGACGACGAUGAUGACGAGAAGAAAGAAAAGAAAGUGAAAAAUAAGGAUGAUGACGAUGAUGAGAAGAAGAAAGAGAAGAAAUCCAAAGAGAAAAGCGACUCGUCCGAGGAUGAUGACGCUGAGAAGAAAUCUAAAAGCAAGGGUGAGUCCUAUGAGGACGACGAUGACAAUAAGAAAUCCAAAAGCAAAAACAAGGCAUCAGAGGAAGAUUUUGAUGCCGUCCCCAUGGAGGCCAAGGCCGAUGAAUCUAUGCCAGCUGUUGACACGCCCAACGGGUACCAAGCGCCAACGACCAAGACCAAGCCACAGUUGCCUGCGGCGGACACACCUGACGGCCACACCGCGCCGACCACGGCCCAACCAAAGGUGUCUGCAGCAGACACUCCCGACGGCUAUGCCACGCCGACAACGCAGAUGUCAGCGAUUGACACACCAGAUGGCUAUGUUACGCCGAGCAAGGCCCAGCUGGCGAUGUCCGCGACCGACUCACCCGACGGCAACGUCCCGGCGACCGACUCACCCGACGGCAACGUCCCGGCGACCGACUCGCCUGACGGCUACGCGACGCCGACGAAGCCCGAGGUGGACGUGCAGUCCUACUCGGAGACGGUGCCCCAGCCGGUGCUCCGGAUGCUGAGCCCGCUGGUGAAGUCCAUGUGCGCCAGGACGAGCUACCCGUACGAGUGCGACGCAUCGAUCGCCAGGCUGCCGGAGACGACGGCGGUACCAGGGCGGCAGAAGAACCUCUUGGGCGUGCUGACCCUGGCCAUAGAUGCCGUGCGCGCCAAGAUCGUGGAGGCGAAGAACGCGGCCACGGACGUGUCCAAGGACCCGCACGUGGACAAGCUCGCCAAGGGCGCCAUCAAAGACUGCAUCAGUAAUUACGACGACAUGAACUACGAGUUCGACUCGGCGCUGACCGCGCUCAAGCGAGGAGACAAGGGGACGGCGGGCACCGCGCUCGACGCGGCGCGCACCGCUGUUGACACCUGCGACGAAGGUUUCCUCGACCGCCCGCAGCUGAAGCCAAUCCUGGGAGGUUACGAGAAGGUGCUCGCGGAGUUCUCAAGCAACGUCCUCGCCAUUAAUGCCAACGCCAAGAAGUAUUAG
rnacentral:rRNA from 1 species